rnacentral:rRNA from 1 species
CCUAGGGUGGCUGCAGUGAGGAAUAUUGCACAAUGGGGGGAACCCUGAUGCAGCAACGCCGCGUGGAGGAUGACGCAUUUCGGUGUGUAAACUCCUUUUAUAUGUCAAGAAAAUGACGGUAGCAUAUGAAUAAGCACCGGCUAACUCCGUGCCAGCAGCCGCGGUAAUACGGAGGGUGCAAGCGUUACUCGGAAUCACUGGGCGCAAAGGACGCGUAGGCGGGUUGGAAAGUCAGGUGUGAAAUCCUACAGCUUAACUGUAGAACUGCACUUGAAACUUCUAAUCUAGAGUAUGGGAGGGGGAGAUGGAAUUAGUGGUGUAGGGGUAAAAUCCGUAGAUAUCACUAGGAAUACCUAAAGCGAAGGCGAUCUCCUGGAACAUUACUGACGCUAAGGCGUGAAAGCGUGGGGAGCAAACAGGAUUAGAUACCCGUGUAGUC